UCGAGUUUAAAUUAAAUUGGAAGACAAAAGAGCUGGCAACCCUUUUUCAUUUUUGAGGGGGGGACUUGGAGUUUUCCUACCAACAUUUUUCAACCCUCUAAUUGCAUCACAAGAAAUCUCAUUACACAUCAAACCCAUUACACCCCAAUCCCACUAUAAAAUAAAACAGAUAAGAAUAAACAUAAUUGCUUCUAAUAGAAGCUUCGAGAAUCCAUAAUCGAAACUUCCGAAUUCCAAACUCCUGAAGAAAACGAUUAGGAGAUUUUGUCCACACUAUCAAGAAAGAAGAGCAAACAAAACAUCAAUUUCCUUCUUGAAAAAGGUCGAUAAAAUUCUUUUCCUAAUUUCCUAUAUCCACAUACUAUUCAUACUCUUAUUCAUAUAAGCAUGCUAAGUUAGAGAUUGAGUGCCAUGUCUCUACUUAAACCACUAAUAUAAUCUUUAACACGGUUAAAUGGCUAAAUAAUUUAUUUUAACCAAUGUUCAGGAAGGCGUAAGGCGUAAAUAAGGCGGUGAGGUCUUGCCUCACGCCUUGGACGAUUAGGCGUUGCCUAAGCGCGAUUAGGCGUUUAGAAAAAAUGCAUUAGAUUUUAGGUUUAGUGUGCAAGAUCAAACAUAACUGUUCAUAAGUUUACAGAGUUGUAGUUAUGUAACUAACAAAGUUCAAGCUAUCAUAUAUAAGAAAACAAACAUAACAAACAUAACAAAAUAACAAUAACAAAAUGACAAAAUAAGCCAUAAAGGCGAUGUCAAACUCGUAGGUUCCUAGGUGAUCACACAAAAUCUUUCAAUUUAGGGUGAACUAUGUAUUUUUUAUUCUUAGUUUUAACGCCUAAUAGGAUUUCGCCGUCGCGGAAAUCGAUUCCUCAUCGAUUUCGCGCGAUUCCUUAGUGAUUACUCGGUCGGCCGCCUUAUUUCAUUGCCUUGCCCGAGGCGAGGCGUUUUGCUGGCGCCUUGGGGUUUUUCCCGCCUAGGCGGACGCCUAAUCGCGCCUUCCAUAACACUGAUUUUAACAAACUGCAAAGUACAAAUUAGUAGGUGAAACAAGCUCCUGGACUAAAAAAAGCCUGCUGAAAAAUAAAUUAACAACGGAUUAGAACAACCUCCUAUCAUUUUUUACACCAUUUACACUAGAACUUAAGAACUAAAAUUAUUUAUAGUGUGAUGCAAAAAUUGAGCUAAAACAAGAUUUCAAGCUAAAAAUCGUUGCUGGAAUUUCAUUAAAAGGGGCAAAAUAAUCAAGCUUUUCAAAUAGGAAGUCAUUUUUUAAAAAAAAUUUAGUUUAUCAAUCCAACUUACAAUAACAAUAUAGUCAAGUUUUUAUAUUAGGCAACCUAUGCAAUGAUAGAAGCAUCACUUUUAUCAAGCAAAAACUAUAGCAGUUCGGAUUAAGGAUUUUACCGUAUAGUGGGCUAUUCUCUUCUCUUUUUUACUUUUGUUUCUCCUGAGCAAUUCGGGCCGGCUUUUCUUUCGUCUUCUCACCUGAAAUUUAACAAAGAAUGGUUAAAAUUUUAUUAUUAGGCUAAAAUUGAGUUUAAAUCAGAAAAUCUAAAACAUAAUCACCUUUUUUACCUGGGUUUCCCUCUUUCUGUUUGUCUCGUCUCCGAUCGAUGAUCACGCCGUCAGCGGCGGGAUCCCCUUUCUUUCCUCUCCACCGGUUC
rnacentral:lncRNA from 1 species